rnacentral:rRNA from 1 species
GUCGAACGGCAGCGGGGAGGAGCUUGCUUCUCUGCCGGCGAGUGGCGAACGGGUGAGUAAUACAUCGGAACGUGUCGAGAAGAGGGGGAUAACCACCCGAAAGGGUGGCUAAUACCGCAUAAAUUCUGAGGAAGAAAGCUGGGGACCUAGGAAUAGGCCUAGCGCUUUUUGAGCGGCCGAUGUCGGAUUAGCUAGUUGGUGAGGUAAAGGCUCACCAAGGCGAAGAUCUGUAGCGGGUCUGAGAGGAUGAUCCGCCACACUGGGACUGAGACACGGCCCAGACUCCUACGGGAGGCAGCAGUGGGGAAUUUUGGACAAUGGGGGCAACCCUGAUCCAGCCAUGCCGCGUGUAUGAAGAAGGCCUUAGGGUUGUAAAGUACUUUUGUUAGGGAAGAAAAGUCAGCUGUGAAUAAUGGCUGAUACUGACGGUACCUAAAGAAUAAGCACCGGCUAACUACGUGCCAGCAGCCGCGGUAAUACGUAGGGUGCGAGCGUUAAUCGGAAUUAUUGGGCGUAAAGCGAGUGUAGACGGUUAUUUAAGCCAGAUGUGAAAUACCCGAGCCUAACUUGGGAGGUGCAUAUGGAACUGGGUAGCUAGAGUGUGUCAGAGGGAGGUAGAACUCCACGUGUAGCAGUGAAAUGCGUAGAGAUGUGGAAGAAUACCGAUGGCGAAGGCAG